UACGGGGGGUGCGAGCGUUGUCCGGAAUCACUGGGCGUAAAGGGCGCGUAGGUGGCGUCGUAAGUCUGUGGUGAAAGCCCGGAGCUCAACUCCGGGUCUGCCGCGGAUACUGCGAGGCUUGAGUGCUGUAGAGGGGGGUAGAAUGCCGGGUGUAGCGGUGGAAUGCGUAGAGAUCCGGCAGAAGACCGGUGGCGAAGGCGGCCCCCUGGGCAGUAACUGACGCUGAGGCGCGACAGCGUGGGGAGCAAACAGG
rnacentral:rRNA from 1 species